GUGAUGCCACGAUGACAUCCACAGAUGUGCCUGUCUUUAAGGGGCUGGAUCAGCAUCUUCCCCAUGAUGAGAGACUCCACAUCAGGAUGCACAGUUGUGCCUGUCUGUAACAGGCUGGAGUGGCAUGUUCCCCAUGACGAGGGACCACAUGACAGCAUCCACAUGUGUCCCUGGCUGGAAUGUCCUGGAGCAGCAUAUUCCCUGCAUCUUGGGAGCCAAGAAGGUGUCCAAACGUGUGCUUGUCUGGAAUGGGAUGGAUGGGCAUGUUCCCUGCUAUGAGGAAACCCCCGACAGUGUCCACAGGUGUGUCUGUCUAGAACAGGCUGAGGGGGCAUGUUCCCCAUGAUGAGGGACCCUACACCAUCAUCCACAGUUGUGCCUGUAUGCAACAGGCGGGAGUGGCAUGUUCCCCACAACUACGGGCCCUGUGACUUUGUCCACAGCUGUGCCUGUCUGGAAUGGGAUGUUGUGACUGUUCCUGUGAUGAGGGAACCCAUGAUGAGGAUGGUGCAAUGGCAUCCACAGGUGUGCCUGUUUGGAAUGGGAUGGAUUGACAUGUUCCCCAUGACAAGGGAUCUAGUGACAGUGUCCCCAGGUGUACCAGUUUGGAACUGCCUGGAUUGGCAUGUUCUCAACGAGAGGCCCUGCAAUGGUUUACACUGAUGUGCCUGUCUGGAAUGGUAUGGAGCUGCAUGUUCCCCCAACGAGAGACCCUGCAAUGGCUUCCACAGGUGUGUCAGUUUGGAACGGGCUGUAUUGGCGUGUUCUCGCCCACAAGGUACCCAACAAUGGUGUCCACAUGUAUGCCUGUCUGGAAUGGGUUGGUUUGAUGUGUCCACCAUGAUGAGGAAACCCGCGACAAUGUCCACAGUUUUGCUUGUGUGGAUUGGACUGGAGUGGCGGGUUUUGCAUUAUGAGGGAGCCUGUGAUGGCAUCCACUGGUUGUGCCAGUCUGGAAUGGACUGGUGUGGCAUGUCUCCCACCACAAGGGACCCCGUGAGAACUUUCACAGGUGUGCUUGCGAGAAACGGGUUCAAAUGGCAUGUUCCCACAAAGAGGGGACCCUGCAAUGGUGUCCAUAGUUGUGCCUGUCUGGAAUUGGCUGGAGGAGCCUGUUCCCGGACAUGAGGGACCCCGGAAGGACUUCCACAGGUGUGCCUGUCUGGAACGGGCUUGACGGCAAGUUCCCCCACAACAAAGGACCCCGCCUCUGGCAUGCAGAGUUCAACCUGUCUGGAACAGGCUGGGGUGGUGUGUUCCCCACGUGAGGGACACUGAUGGCAUCAACAGAUUUGCCUGUCUGUAAUGGGCUGAAUUGGCAUAGUCCAUGCUAUAAGGGUCCCCCGACAUUGUCCACAGGUGUGCCUGUAUGGAAUGGGGUGGAUCAUCAUGUUCCCCUCGACAAGGGACCCCUUGACGGUGUUCACAGUUGUGCCUGUCUGGAAUGGGAUGGAGCGGCAUGUUCCUCAUGACCAUGGGACCCCACGCCAUUGUCCACAGGUGUGCCUGUCUGGAAAUGGCUGGAGUGGCAUGUUCCCUGCAACAAGGUACUCUGGGACAGUGUCCACAGUUUUUCCUGUCUGGUAUGGGGUAGAUCAGCGUGUGUACCCCUUGAUGAGAGGCACCACAAUGGUGUCCAUGGCUGUUCCUUUCUGGAGCAAGCUGAUCAGCUUGUGCACCCUGAUGAGGGACCCUGCAACGGUGUCCACAGUUGUGCCUGUCUGGGAAGGGUGGGAGCAGCAUGUUCCCCCUCGACGAGGGACACCAUCACGGUUUACACAGGUAUGCUUGUCUGGAAUGGUCUGGAGCUACGUGUUCUCAAACGAGUCUCCCCAUGACAGCAUGCAUAGAUGUGCCUGUCUGGCACAAGGGUGAUUGGCAUGUUCCCACAAUUAUGAACCCCGCAACAGCGUCCACAAGUGUGCCUGUCUGGAGUGGCCUGGAGCAGCAUUUUCCCCCGUGACUAGGAAUGCGGCAAUAGUGUCCACAGGUUUCCUUGUCUUGAACGAGCUGGAGGGGAAUGUUACCCACAGGAGCAGCCCCGUGAUGGUGUCUACAGGUGUGCGUGUCUGGAAUGAGCUCGAGCAGCAUGUUCCCCAUGACUUGGAACCCCGUGACGGAAUCCACAGGUGUGUGCCUGUCUGGAGCAGGCUGGAGCAGUGUAUUCCCCACAUUGAGGGACACCAUGACGGCAUACACAGGUGUGCCUGCCUGGAAUGGGAUGGAUUGGUAGGUUCCCCAUAAUGAGGAACCUCAUGAUGGUGUCCACAUGUGUGCCUGUCUGGAAUGGGCUGGAGCAGCAUCUUCCCUGUGACUAGGGACACUGCGACAGUGUCCACAGGUUUGCCUGUCUGGAACGUGCUGGAGGGGAAUGUUCCCCACAAUGAGUGGCCCCGGGACAGCAUCUACACGUGUACCUGUCUGGAAUGGGCUGGAGCAUGGUGUUCUGCGUGACAAUGGACCCCGCGAUGGUGUCCACAAGUGUGCCUGUAUGGAAUGGGCUGGAGUGGCAUGUUCCCUCAACUAGGUCCCCAUGACUUCCUCCACAGUUGUGGUUGUCUGGAAAGGGAUGGUGGAGCCUGUUCACUGCAACAAGGGGUCUCACGGGCGAGGGACCCCAUGAUGGUGUCCACUCUGGAACGGGCUUGAGUGGCAUGUUCCCCAUGACGAGGGACCAUGUCAUGGCAUCCACAAGAGUGCCUGUCUGGAACAGGCUAGAGCACCAUGUUCCCCAUGAUGAGGGACCCUGUGCCAUGGUGCACCUGUGUGCCUGUCUGGAAAGGGCUGGAGCAGUGUGUUCCUUGAAAGGAGGGGGCCUGCACCAGUGUCCACAGGUUUGCCUGUCCAGAAUGGGGUGGAUCGAUGUGUUUUCUGUGAGAAGAGAUGCCACGAUGGCGUCCACAGAUGUGCCUGUCUUUAAUGGGCUGGAUCAGUGUGUUCCCCCUGACGAGGGACCCAGCAAUGUCAUCCUCUAGAGUGCCUGUCUAGAGUGGGCUAGAGAAGUGUUCCCCAUGAUGAGCAACCCUGCAAUGGUGUUCACAAGGGUACCCAUAUGGAAUGGGCUGGAGCGGAAUUUUCUCCACCUCUAGGGUCCCUGUGACUUUGUCCACACAUGUGUCUGUCUGGAAUGGGAUGGUGUGGCCUGUUCCCCACAACAAGUGAAACCGCAACAAUUGACCCUUGCUAUGAGGGACCCUGCCAUGACGCUCCACAGUUGUGGCUGUCUGGGACUGGCUGGAUCGGGGUUUUCACUGCUUUGAGGGACCUUGUGAUGGUGUCCACAUGUGUGCCUUUUUUUAAUUGGCUGGAGUGGCAUGUUGCCCAUGACGAAGGACCACACGAUUGUGUCCACAGGUUUGCCUGUCUGGAAAGGGCUGGUUUGGUAUAUUACCCAUGUCAAUGGACCCUGUGAUGGCAUCCUCAGGUGUGCCUAUCUGGAAUGGUGUGGAUUGGCAUGUUACCCUCGACGAGGGACACCAAGAUGGUGUCCACAUGGUGUGCCCUGUCUCAAAGGGGCUGGAGGGGCAUGUUUCUUGCAAUGAGAAACCCUGCAAUGGCUUCCACAGGUAUGCCUGUCUGGAAUGGACUAGAGGGGAGUGUUUCCCAUGCUGAGCAGCCCCACAAUGGCAUCCACAGGUGUGCCUCUCUGGAAUGAGCUUAGUGGCAUGUUCUACAUGACAAGGGACCUCACAGUGGCGCUCCGUAGGUGUGCUUGUCUGGAAAGGGCUUGAGUGUGGUGUUCCUCAUAAGGAGGGAACCCACAAAUUCAUCCACAAGUGUGCCUGUCCGGAAUGGGCUAGAGCAGCAUGCUCCCCAUGAUGAGGAACCCCACACUGUCGUCCACAGUUGUGCCUGUCUGGAAAGGGGCUAGAGUGGCAUGUUCCUUGCAACAAGGACCCUGUGACAGCAUCCACAGGUUUGCCUGUCUGGAAUGGCUGAAUUGGCAUUUUCCCCAUCAUAAGGGACGCUGUGACAGCAUCCACAGGUGUGCCUGUAUGGAAUGGGCUGGAGCAUUGUGUUCCCUGUGACAAUGGACCCCGCGAUGAUGUCCACAGGUGUGCAUAUCUGGAAUGGUCUGGAGCUUCGUGUUCCCAUGACAAGGGACCCAGCGAUGACAGCAUCCACAGGUGUGCCUGUCUGGAACUGGCUGGAUUGACGUGUUCCCCUAUGACUAAGGACCCUGUGAUGGCAUCCACAGGUUGUGCUUAUAUGGAACAGACUGGAGUGGUGUGUUCUGCAUGACAAGGCAUCCUGCGAUGGCUUUCACAGGUGUGCCUGUGUGGAAUGGGCUGAUGUGGCAUGUUCCCCACCACAGGGCUCCCACAAGGACUUUUCACAGGCAUGCCUGCCAGAAAUGGGCCUAAGCGGUGUGUUCCCCAUGAUGAGGGACCCCGCGAUGGCAUUCACAGAUGUGCCUGUCUGGAAUGGGCUGAGCAUCGUGUUCAACACAAGGACCCCUUGAGGACUUCCACAGGUGUGCCUGUCUGGAAGGGGCUUGAGCGGCAUGUUCCAUGCUACAGAGGACCCCGUUCUGGAGUGCAGAGUUCUACCUAUCUGGAACAGGCUGGAGUGGUGUGUUCCCCAUGUGAGAGACACUGUGAUGGCAUCAACAGAUUUACCUGUCUGUAAUGGGCUGAAUUGGUAUAUUCCAUGCAUCAAGGGAUGCCUUGACAUCCACAAGUGUGCCUGUCUGGAAUGGGCUGGAGCAUUGUGUUCUGCAUGACAAUGGACCCCGCAAUGGUGUCCACAAGUGUGCCUGUAUGGAAUGGGCUGGAGCGGCAUGUUCCCCCAACUAGGUCCCCACGACUUCCUCCACAGUUGUGCUUGUCUGGAAAGGGAUGGUGCAGCCUGUUCUCUGCAACAAGGGGACCCCACGACGAGGGACCCCAUGAUGGCGUCUACAGGUGUGUGUGUCUGAAACAGGCUAGAGCAGCAUGUUCCCUAUGACGAGGGACCCCCACACUGUUGUCCACAGUUGUGCCUGUCUGGAAUGGCUGGAUUGGCAUGUUCCCCAUGAUGAGGGACCCCAGUGACAGCGUCCACAGGUGCGCCUGUCUCAAAUGGGAUGGUAUUGGCAUGUUCCCCAAAAUGAGAGACCCCGUGAGAACUUUCACUGGUGUGUCUGACAGAAACAGGCUUGAGUGUAUUCCCUGGGGUGAUGGACUCCGCAACAGCAUCCAUAACUGUGCCUGUAUGGAAUUAGCUGGAGCAGUGUGUGCCCCAACAUGAGGGACCCCACAAGGAGUUCCACAGAUAUGCCCAUCUGAAACGGGCUCAAGCAGCGUGUUCCAUGUGAUGAGGGACCCCUUUCAGUGUCCAGAGUUGUGCCUGUCUGGAAUGGGCUGGAGUGGUGUGUUCCCUCUUGAGGGAUACCGUGAAGGAGUCAACAGGUUUGCCUGUCUGGAAUGGGCUGGAGUGGCAUGUUCCCUGUGAUGAAGGAACACGUGAUGGUGUCCACAGGUGUCCCUGUCUGGAAUGGGCUGAAUCAGCAUAUUCUGUGCAUCGAGGGACCCCACAACAGCAUCCACAGUUGUGCCUGUCUAGAAUGGGGUUGAUCAUUGUGUUGCCCUCGCCAAGGGACCCUGCAACUUCGUUCACACUUGUGCCUGUCUGGAAAUGGCUGGAGUGGCAUGUUCUCUGCAACAAAGGACACAGGAAUGGUGUCCAUAGUUUUGCCUGUCUGGAAUGGGGUGGAUCAGCGUGUGCCCUUUUGAUGAGAGAUGCCAUGAUGGUGUCCACAGGUGUUCCUGUAUGGAACAGGCUGGAUAGCCUUGUGCACCAUGAUGAGGGACCCCGUGAUUUCAUCCAAGGUGUGCCUGUCUAGAAAGGGCUGGAGCAGCAUGUUCCCCUUGAGGGACACCACGAUGGUUUACAAAGGUUUGCCUGUCUGGAACAUUGUGGAGCUGCGUGUUCCCUCAACUAGGGACCCUGAGAUGGCAUCCACAGGUGUGCCUGUCUGGCACGGUGUGGUUCGGCCUGUUCUCCACAAUGAGGAACCCCCGAUGAUGUCCUCAAGUGUGCCUGUCUGGAAUGGGCUGGAGCGGCAUCUUCCCUGUGACUAGGGACCCCACAAAAGCAUCCACAGUUUUGCCUGUCUUAAACAGGCUGGAGAGGAAUGUUCCCCACAAUGAGCGGCCUCACGAUGGCAUCCAAAGGUGUGCCUGUCUGGAAUGGGCUGUUGUGGCCUGUUCCCCAACACAAGGGACUCCCGUGAGGACUUCCACAUGUGUACCUUUCUGGAACAGGCUCACGCAGCAUGUUUCUCAUGAGGAGGGACCCCGUUCUGGCAUCCAGAGUUGUGUCUGUCUGGAACUGGCUGGACUUGCAUGUUCCCUGCGUGAGGGACACCAAGAUGGCAUCAACAGGUUUGACUGGAAUGGGCUGUAGUGACAUGUUCCCUGUGAUGAGGGACCAUGCGAUGUCCACAGGUGUGCCUGUAUGGGACAGGGUGGAUUGUCAUUUUCCACUGGAUGAGGGAUCCCAUGAUGGUGUUCACAGGUGUGCCUGUCUGGAAUGGAAUGGAGCAGCAUAUUCCCCAUGUCCAAGGACCCCGUGCCAUCCUCCACAGGUGUGCCUGUCUGGAAAUGCCUGGAGUGGCAUGUUCCCUGCAACAAGGGCCACCGUGAUGGUGUCCACAGUUUUGCCUGUCUGGAGUGAUGUGGAUUGGCAUGUGUCCCUUGAUGAGAGACACCACGUUGGCGUCCACAGGUGUUCCUGUAUGGAACAGGUUGAAUUGGCUUGUGCACCACGACGAGGGACCCCGCAAUGGCAUCCGCAUGUGUGCCUUUCUGGAAAGGGCCGGAGUGGCAUUUUCCCCUUGACAAGGUACACUGUGAUGGUUUACAAAGGUGUGCCUGUCUGGAAUGGUCUGGAGCUGCUGUUCCCCAGAGGAGGGACCCCGUGAUUGUGUCCACAGUUGUGCCUGUCUGGCAUGGACUGGAUCAGCAUGUUCCCCACAAUGAGGAACCACGCAAAGGCAUCCACAGGUGUGCCUGUCUGGAACGGGCUGAAGUGGCAUCUUCCCUGUGAGUAGGGACCCUGUGACAGCAUCCCCAGGAUUGUCUGUCUGGAAUGUGCUGGGGGUUUAAUGUUCCUCACAACAAGCAGCCCUGUGACAGCAUCCACAAGUGUGCCUGUCUGGAAUGGGCUGGAGUGGUGUGUUUCCUGUGACAACAGACCCCACCAUGGCAUCCACAGGUGGGCCUGCAAGGAAUGGGCUGGAUUGGCAUGUUCCCCCACAACUAUGUCCCCGUGACUUCCUCCACAGUUGUGUUUGUUUGGGAUGAGAUUGUGUGGCCUGUUCCCUGCGAUGAGGGAUCCCAUGAUGUAGGAACCCACAAUGGUGUCCACUAGCUGUGCGUGUCUGGAAUGGGCUAGAGCAUCAUGUUCCCCGUGAUGUGGGACCCUGUCACGGCAUCCACAGGUGUGCCUGUCUGGAACAGGCUAGAGCAGCAUGUUCCCCAUGAUGAGGGACCCUCUGCCAUGCUCCACACAAGUGCCUGUCUGGAAAGGGCUGGAGAGGCAUGUUCCUUGUGAGGAGGGACCCUGGAAUGGCGUCCACAGGUGUGUCUGUCUGAAAUAUCCUGGAGCAGCAUGUUCCCCACAACAGGGGACCUCACGAUGGCAUCCACAGUUGUGCCUGUGUGGAAUGGGCUGGAGCAGCAUGUUUCCUGCAACUAGGGUCCCCGUGACAUCAUGCACAGCUGUGCCUGUCUGGAGUGGGAUGGUGCAGCCUGUUCCCUGUGACAAGGGCCCCCAUGUCAUGGGAUCCUGUGACAGUGUCCACAGGUGUGCCUGUCUGGAAUGGGAUGCAUCGGCAUGUUCCCCAUGAAGAGGAACCCCAAACAGCAUCCACAGGUGUGCCUGUGUGGAACAGGCUGGAGGGGUAUGUUCCCUGCUGUGAGGGACACCGCAACAGUGUCCACAGGUGUGCCUGUCUGUAACUGGCUGGCUCGGCAUUUUCCAUGCAUCAAGGGACCCCGUGAUAGCGUCAAUAGGUGUGCCUGUCUGGAAAGGGAUGGAUUGGCUUUUUCCCAUGAUGAGGAACCACUGAGAGUGUCCACAGGUGUGCCUGCCUGGAAUGGCCUGGAGAGGCAUGUUCCCCACUAUGAAGGAGACUGUGAUGGUGUCCACAUAUGUGCCUGUCUGGAACGGGCUGGAGCACUGUGUUCCCAUGUCUAGGGACCCCGCAAUGGCAUCCACAUGUGUGCCUUUCCCGAAUGGGUUGGAGUAGUGUGUUCCCUGCAAUGAGGGACCCCACUAAAUUGUCCACAGAAUUUGCCUGUCUGGAAUGGGCUGAAGCAGAGUGUUCCCCAUAAGGGACCCUGUGAUGGCAUCCAAAGUUGUACCUGUAUGGAACAGGCUAGAGCAGCAUGUUUCCUACAAUUAGUGUCCCUAUGACUUCAUCCACAUGUGUGCCUGUUUGGAAGGGGAUGGUGUGGCCUGUUCCCCAUGAGGGACCCCACGAUGGCAUCCACAGGUGUGCCUGUCUGGAACAGGCUGGAGCAGCAUGUUCCCCACAAGAGGCCCCACGCUUUCAUAGACAGGUGUGUCUGUCUGGAAAGGGCUAGAGUGGCAUGUUCCCCACAAUUAGGGUCCCCAUGACUUCAUCCAUAGAUGUUCCUGUCUGGAAUGGGAUGGUGCAGCCUGUUUGUGUGAUGAGGGACCCCGCGAUGCCAUCCACAGUUAUGCCUUCCUGGAAUGGGCUGAAGUGCCAUGUUCCCUGUGAAGAGGGACACUGCCACAGUGUGCACAGAUGUGCCUGUCUGGAAUGGGCUGGAGCAGCAUGUUUCUGGGUACUAGGAACCCCACAAUGGCAUGGACAGGUGUGCCUGUUUGAAAAGGGCUGGAGUGGUGUGUUCUCCAGGACGAGGGACCCCAUAAUGGGUUCACAGGUGUGCCUGUCUGGAACGGGCUGGAUCAGCAUGUUCCCCAUGUUGAGAGACACCGCGAUGGCAUCCUCCAGUGUUCCUGCCUGGUAUGAUUUGAAUUGGCAUAUCCCCCAUGACAAGUGACUCCACGAUGGCGUCCUCAGUUGUGCCUGACUGGAAUCGGAUGGAGGGGAGUAUUCCCUGUGAUGAGGGACCCCACAAAGG
rnacentral:lncRNA from 1 species